GCCUGGGUGGCUCAGUAGUUGAGCAUCUGCCUUCAGCUCAGGUCAUGAUCCUGGGGUCCUGGGAUCGAGUCCCAUGUCAGGCU
rnacentral:tRNA from 1 species